GGCUUGAUGGUGUAGUGGUUACACAUCCUCUUUAGGUGCAAACUUCCACCUCGAUGGUGAGGAAGUCCCCGGUUCAAACCCGGGUCAGGUCA